rnacentral:misc_RNA from 1 species
UCACGUAUCCACGUAUCAACCAUUGUGAACUAGUGCCCUACCUUUGGGGUUUUUGGAUAGAGUUGUUAUAAUAGAACGUUUCGAAAGAAGGAAUAACGGUGAUUUGAAGGUUAUUCUAGUUUUAUUAUGACCUACAGUUUUACACUGUCUGUCUGGAUUCCAAAGUGUAUUUUUCUUCAAAUCAUUCAUUAACCAUUUAAACCUAAUCUUCAUUAAUGUUUAUGAACUGAGUGUAUUUCUUACUCAAGUAACAUUGAGAAGAAAUAAAAGAUAUUACGAAACAUAAGAA